UUGGCAGUCUCAAGGAACCAAGGCAAGAGGGUCGUUAACCUUCUGACGCCGCUUGGGCCCUGUCAGCGUUACAAGGUCUUUUUCCUGUGGCCUUAGCCUUGGGAAUGAGGCUGUUGAGUUAACGAGCUCCUUGUGGCCGUCCAGGCGGCACUGUCUGCCACAGGAGUUACGGGACCGCGCUUUCGUAAUUUCCUAAGUUUCUGAGGAGAUGAGAGGGUCGAGACUGUCCGGGUAAGCAGAAUGAAUACCAAAAGACAUUCAGAAAGGAGAACAGACAAAAGAGAAGUGAUAGUGAACAAGUGCUAGAAAUACAAGACAGAAACAAGAUUUGGGAAAAGUUUGGGACAGAUGCAAUCUAUCAUUCGAUAAAUACAUUUAGAGGAAGCCUGAGAAAUGACGGUACAAUUUGAAUAUGGAAAGCAGGAAUCAAGGAAGAAAGAACAAUAGACUGACAGGAUACCAGUUCUACUCCUGGUUCUAGCAACCCAGUGUAUGACUUUGGAUGUCAAGUGAUCCAAAAGUCUCUGGAGUCCUCUGUGUGACCUUCGAGGACCCAUCAACCUGAAAACAGAACAGGAUGCAGGUGUUUCUACUGUGGAUGCCAUAGUGAUGCUGUGCUCUUCCUCUCCCCUGCCCUGCCCCCAUGAGGAAGAGUCAAGGCUGGUUGGAGCCAGAGUGUAGGGAAGGAUUUUCUCAUAAUCUGAAAGCCCAUGAAGAUCUCUAGACUACCAGAGGCCUUGGAACUGACUGUCCUCACUCCUGUUCCCUGUGGAGAAUCCCAGGAUCUAACCAGCCCCAUGGUCAAAUGGAUAGGGAGAAAAGAACUUGCUGACCCAUCCCUCUCUUUCUUCCUGACCUGAUGUGGAUAUAUGGCCUGGUCCUGUGGCUGCCACCAUGUGACAUGAGAUACUGGAUUAGAGAUCAGGAUUAAAGAAGAAUCUUGAGAUGUCAUCAAAACAGAAGUAACCACUGAGAAGAAAGAGAGCAGGAAGUAAGAACUGCGACUGGAGAAAUGCCCACAACUACAGAGAAAGCUGGGAAGAGGAGCCGCUGUGUGAACAAUUGGACAGGGAUGGAACCCUGCAGCCGUGUACUAUACCUCUUGGCCAGAGCUAUUUGAACUAUGAAUGAACACUCUCUCCAGUGGAUUUAUAAUUAGGAGACAGAGGCCAGCAAGACCCUGCUGGAGUUACCCAACUCAGCUGCAGAGAGACCCGAA